rnacentral:rRNA from 1 species
GAUGAACGCUGGCGGCGUGCCUAAUACAUGCAAGUCGAGCGAACGGACGAGAAGCUUGCUUUUCUGAUGUUAGCGGCGGACGGGUGAGUAACACGUGGAUAACCUACCUAUAAGACUGGGAUAACUUCGGGAAACCGGAGCUAAUACCGGAUAAUAUUUUGAACCGCAUGGUUCAAAAGUGGAAGACGGUCUUGCUGUCACUUAUAGAUGGAUCCGCGCUGCAUUAGCUAGUUGGUAAGGUAACGGCUUACCAAGGCAACGAUGCAUAGCCGACCUGAGAGGGUGAUCGGCCACACUGGAACUGAGACACGGUCCAGACUCCUACGGGAGGCAGCAGUAGGGAAUCUUCCGCAAUGGGCGAAAGCCUGACGGAGCAACGCCGCGUGAGUGAUGAAGGUCUUCGGAUCGUAAAACUCUGUUAUUAGGGAAGAACAUAUGUGUAAGUAACUGUGCACAUCUUGACGGUACCUAAACAGAAAGCCACGGCUAACUACGUG